rnacentral:tmRNA from 1 species
GGGGACGAUUUUGGUUUCGAUUGGGAAAUAUCGUAUAGAAGUGCAAGCCGUGAGUAUACACGUUAAAACAAACGUCAAUUUCAAUUGGCAACAGUUACGCAAUGGCAGCGUAGUAAUACGCAGCCUGUCGCCCUCACACUCCGAUAAGAGGUAGCGACAUCAUAUCGGAAAGACCCUGAGAAAACAGUAAAUCACGUGUUGGUUGCUAUAACUACGACACGCUAAAUAAGAACGGUUAGGCUGACUUGCCAGAAGAAGAGCAACUGGAUAAGCUUGUGAAUGACUUUUAUAUAGAGUUUUUCAAGACGCGAGUUCGACUCUCGCCGUCUCCACUC